GAUAAGAACGCAGCGAAAUGCGAUACGUAAUGUGAAUUGCAAAUUCAGUGAAUCAUCGAGUCUUUGAACGCACAUUGCGCCCCCUGGUAUUCCGGGGGGCAUGCCUGUCCGAGCGUCAUUGCUGCCCUCAAGCACGGCUUGUGUGUUGGGCCCCGUCCUCCGAUUCCGGGGGACGGGCCCGAAAGGCAGCGGCGGCACCGCGUCCGGUCCUCGAGCGUAUGGGGCUUUGUCACCCGCUCUGUAGGCCCGGCCGGCGCUUGCCGAUCAACCCAAAUUUUUAUCCAGGUUGACCUCGGAUCAGGUAGGGAUACCCGCUGAACUUAAGCAUAUCAAUAAGCGGAGGA
rnacentral:misc_RNA from 1 species